rnacentral:rRNA from 1 species
AAUAUUGCGCAAUGGAGGAAACUCUGACGCAGCGACGCCGCGUGAGCGAUGAAGGUUUUCGGAUCGUAAAGCUCUGUCCUUGGGGAAGAAGGUCUUCGGACUUGACGGUACCCAAGAAGAAAGCCCCGGCUAACUACGUGCCAGCAGCCGCGGUAAUACGUAGGGGGCAAGCGUUGUCCGGAAUUAUUGGGCGUAAAGCGCUCGCAGGCGGUUUUUUAAGUCUGAUGUGAAAUCUUGCGGCUCAACCGCAAGCGGUCAUUGGAAACUGGAGAACUUGAGGACAGAAGAGGAGAGUGGAAUUCCACGUGUAGCGGUGAAAUGCGUAGAGAUGUGGAGGAACACCAGUGGCGAAGGCGACUCUCUGGUCUGUAACUGACGCUGAGGAGCGAAAGCGUGGGUAGCGAACA